GACGAACGCUGGCGGCGUGCUUAACACAUGCAAGUCGAACGGAAAGGCCCUGCUUUUGUGGGGUGCUCGAGUGGCGAACGGGUGAGUAACACGUGAGUAACCUGCCCUUGACUUUGGGAUAACUUCAGGAAACUGGGGCUAAUACCGGAUAGGAGCUCUUGCGGCAGGUUGGGGGUUGGAAAGUUUCGGCGGUUGGGGAUGGACUCGCGGCUUAUCAGCUUGUUGGUGGGGUAGUGGCUUACCAAGGCUUUGACGGGUAGCCGGCCUGAGAGGGUGACCGGCCACAUUGGGACUGAGAUACGGCCCAGACUCCUACGGGAGGCAGCAGUGGGGAAUAUUGCACAAUGGGCGGAAGCCUGAUGCAGCAACGCCGCGUGCGGGAUGACGGCCUUCGGGUUGUAAACCGCUUUCGCCUGUGACGAAGCGUGAGUGACGGUAAUGGGUAAAGAAGCACCGGCUAACUACGUG
rnacentral:rRNA from 1 species